rnacentral:rRNA from 1 species
UAUGUGAUCGUCUCUCGCAUAUCAAUAAGCGGAGGAAAAGAAACUAACAAGGAUUCCCCUAGUAACGGCGAGUGAAGCGGGAAGAGCUCAAAUUUGAAAUCUUAAAGGGUUUCCCUUUACGAAUUGUAGUUUAAAGAAGUGUUUUCUGUUGAGGUUUUGGUAAAAGUUCUUUGGAAUAGGACAUCAUAGAGGGUGAGAAUCCCGUAUUUGACCUUUACUUUCAACUUUGUGAUACACUUUCAAAGAGUCGGAUUGUUUGGGAAUGCAGUCCAAAAUGGGUGGUAAAUUUCAUCUAAAGCUAAAUAUUGGCGAGAGACCGAUAGCGAACAAGUACCGUGAGGGAAAGAUGAAAAGAACUUUGAAAAGAGAGUUAAACAGUACGUGAAAUUGUCAAAAGGGAAGCGUUUGACACCAGUGUUGUUUUUCUGAAAAUCAAUUAAAGAACUGUUUAUGCUAAGUUGUUUAGACUUUAUCAGCUAAUCUGCUUAGUUUUGAGCUUUUCUUUAAUGCACUUUUCAGUUAACAAGUCAACAUCAAUUUCUUUUGCUGUAAAAAAGCUUGAGGAAGGUGGCUUGAGAUUCGUCUUAAGUGUUUAUAGCCUCUUGCCUAUGCAGUCGGAGAGAUUGAGGUCUGCAGCGUAGAUCCUUCGGGGCUAAAUGCAUUUGUGCUAAGUUAUAGCAUUUUAUAGACAACUUGUUGACUAUGAUUUGUCUUGUAGCUUGCUCGCUUAUGUUAUUUUACCUACGCUUAGGAUGUUGACGAGACUGUCGAUCUC